CGCGUAGGCGGUUUGUUAAGUCGGACGUGAAAGCCCCGGGCUCAACCUGGGAAUUGCACCCGAUACUGGCCGACUGGAGUGCGAGAGAGGGAGGUAGAAUUCCACGUGUAGCGGUGAAAUGCGUAGAUAUGUGGAGGAAUACCGGUGGCGAAGGCGGCCUCCUGGCUCGACACUGACGCUGAGGUGCGAAAGCGUGGGGAGCAAACA
rnacentral:rRNA from 1 species